rnacentral:rRNA from 1 species
CGGAGGUGGUGCAUGGUUGUCGUCAGCUCGUGUCGUGAGAUGUUGGGUUAAGUCCCGCAACGAGCGCAACCCUUAUUGUUAGUUGCCAUCAUUCAGUUGGGCACUCUAGCAAGACUGCCGGUGACAAACCGGAGGAAGGUGGGGAUGACGUCAAAUCAUCAUGCCCCUUAUGACCUGGGCUACACACGUGCUACAAUGGGAAGUACAACGAGUUGCGAAGUCGCGAGGCUAAGCUAAUCUUUUAAAGCUUCUCUCAGUUCGGAUUGCAGGCUGCAACUCGCCUGCAUGAAGCCGGAAUCGCUAGUAAUCGCGGAUCAGCCCGCAAUCGUGAAUACGUUCCCGGGCCUUGUACAC